rnacentral:rRNA from 1 species
CAGUUCGGAUUGUAGUCUGCAACUCGACUACNUGAAGCUGGAAUCGCUAGUAAUCGCAGAUCAGAAUGCUGCGGUGAAUACGUUCCCGGGUCUUGUACACACCGCCCGUCACACCAUGGGAGUCGGAAAUGCCCGAAGCCGGUGACCAAACCAAUAAGGAAGGAGCCGUCGGAGGCAGGUCUGAUAACUGGGGUGAAGUCGUAACAAGGUACC